rfam:Lepisosteus oculatus linkage group LG9, whole genome shotgun sequence.
CCUUCGAUAGCUCAGUUGGUAGAGCGGAGGACUGUAGCGGUAACACUGACAUCCUUAGGUCGCUGGUUCGAAUCCGGCUCGAAGGA